rnacentral:sRNA from 1 species
UAUUCUGCCCUACGGGGAAGGAUGAGAAGCUUCGACUAAGGUUCGACUCGAGCGCCAGCGAGAGAACGUUGCCAAGGG